UUCAAAAAGAUGAGAGCAAGUCAAACCAUGUUGCAUACAACAAGUAGAAAGGGUUUUGCUCGCUUAGAAGCUGAAAUGCGUGCUGAAAGUGAAGAUCCUGAUUCGAUAACAAGAGAUGAUGUUUAUAUUCGAGGACAUACGUGAAAAAAUGGUGAACCUAUUAAUGAAUCAGUUGGGGAAACAUUG